GAUAAAGGAAGGAAUUAAACCCCCUUAAAUAGGACUACAGCCUACUGCCUAUCAUUCGGCCACUUUACC
rnacentral:tRNA from 1 species